rnacentral:lncRNA from 1 species
UCUAAUUGUCCCUGUCAAGGUAGUCAGAAUCGCGUGUAAACUCGUGGAAACGCACGAUUAUACGCUUCUACUUCAUCUUCCCGUUGCGCUUCUGCUUCUCGUCUAGAACCAGGCUGCUCCCUGUGAAAUCGCUGUUGAAGAUCGCAGAGUCGCCGAAAUCGUCGCUUCUGCUGCGUGGUUGCGUUUCAGGUUGAAGAAGUUCUUUUUCUUGGCCCUGAGCCCCUGAUUGCAGCCCAACCCAACCUAACUCAAUGACCCAAUCUAAAUUGAAGACCAUGGAAGAGGAGCCCUAGCAGAGUAACGUAACAGUCUCUAAUCUCUUAAUCUCCCUCACUUUUACAGUUUAUCUCCAAUUCUCCAUGGCCAAAAUUUCAAAUUUUCACCUCUCUGAACUCUGAAGUCUCAAUCUCUGACUCUAUCUCUCUUUCCUUCUGAAAUUUGAAUUUCGUGCAACUGGAAACCCCAAUUUGGAGCAUCGCCGACUCGCCGUAAGGUUUGCCGCUUGUGUUAUUGACUCAGACUGGUGGUGGUUGGACUGCAUGAGGCCGUGAGCAUCACUUUGUGAUUGCAACUUGCGAGACUUUCUGGCUCUGCCUCUCUGUCUCUGGCUCUUGCUGCUAGUUCAUCAGGUAAGUUAAGAGUUAAGACAUCUUUAAUCUUCAUCCUCUUCAAUCUUAUUUUAAUUAGGAAAAAAAGAUAAAUGAUAUAGAGGCAUAGGGAUGGAGUUGAUUACAGGGUAUGGUAGUGUCAAACAUUUGUUCAAGAGCUUUAACCAAUUCAUGAUAACCGUCAUGAACUUAAAGAUUGAGUUUAAUCUCUGAGCAUUGUGUCUUAAUUUAUUAUGCCCAAUAAUGUUUAACACAAAAUGUAUUGAGAUAGUAGUUCUCAAAUUAUGAAUAAUAAUUAUCUUGAUUCUUGACACUUUAAUUAAGCUAACUAGCUAAGUGUUCCUCUGCU